rnacentral:rRNA from 1 species
UUGUGCCUACGGGGGGCAGCAGUGGGGGAUAUUGCACAAUGGGGGAAACCCUGAUGCAGCGACGCCGCGUGAGUGAAGAAGUAUUUCGGUACGUAAAGCUCUAUCAGCAGGGAAGAAUAAUGACGGUACCUGACUAAGAAGCCCCGGCUAACUACGUGCCAGCAGCCGCGGUAAUACGUAGGGGGCAAGCGUUAUCCGGAUUUACUGGGUGUAAAGGGAGCGUAGGUGGCAUGGUAAGCCAGAAGUGAAAACCCGGGGCUCAACCCCGCGGAUUGCUUUUGGAA